rnacentral:lncRNA from 10 species
UUUUAUAGCCCACCGUUUAUGGUAUCUAAGGUGUAAAACUAGCUAAAGGCCUAGCAUGAACUUGUUAAUAUGGCUGUAUUAUUCUCUACAGUAACUCCCCUGAGGUUAUAAAUUUCACAAAUUGGAGGUCCCAGAAGAUUUGGGGACAUGUGUAUGAGACAUGUGUUUCUGGGGAGUACUUGCAGCUUCUCUGGAGGGCCAUGUGGCCCACAUUUCCCCCUACCCAGCAUUGGCCCUGCUAGACAAUUGAAGUUACACAUCCUGAGUCCACCACCAGUCCCUGUGCUAAGGGCCGGGCAUGUGUUAGGCAUUAGGCAUUGGAGCAAUGCAGCCGAAUACGACACGGCUCCUAAGGAGCUUAUGGUUUAUUGUUACCAUCUCCACUACUAACAGCUUCCAUUUACUGUCUGCUGUGCUUAUACUGAAGUAGGCACUGAAUCCUCUCAAUAAUGUGAGAUGCCUAGAAUUAUUAUUGCCAUUUUAUAGGGGGGUGGUCUGAGGCUCAAAGGGACACAAAAUUUGCCCAAGGUCUUCCAGCUAGUAAGUGACCAAGGAGGCAGGAUUCAAUCUAAGUCUGUCUGACUCCUGAGUUAGAGGCCCUCUCCCUUACCCCACACUGUUCCCUCUUCACUUGAGCAGAACAGCCAGUGUCUGCCAGAUACACGCCACGCUUGCACCAGCUUGGAGGAAAUGUAAGGAGGGAAGAGAGGAGACGCUGACAUCAUUGAAUCUGGAGUCAUCUGAGCCAGUGACUUGUCUUCCCAGAUAGACUUCAACAAGGUGUCCAACUCAGUGGCCCACAGUAAAUGUCAAAUUAAUGAAGACAAAAUGGCAAUAAGGAAAAGGAGUUCCAGGCACUGUGACAGAUUUUUUUUUAAGGUUGCCUGUUUUAACACUGAAAACAAUCAGGUAAGGGGAAGUUAUCUGCAUUUUGCUGAUGAGGAAACCAAAACCUAAGUGGCAGACCAAUGAUCUGAGGUGUCACUGACCCCAGAGCCUGCGACCCUUCCUUUGUAUCAUACCACCUCUCUCUAUGCAAAGGUUGUGUGGAUUCUUGAAAUUCCCAUAUAUCCCAUAUGACCACAUUAAUAUACUUUUCAAUAAUAUGUAGACUUCUUUUUAAAAUGGUUGGCGGAAAGGCUAAUGAAGGGAGUUUAUGGUAAUCUAGGCCUGUGAAUUUUGACCUGGGCACCUCCUUACCCACUGCCACAAGCUCCACAGCCCCUUAACAUUGCACACUAAAUUCCAGUAAUAUCAAUGGAGGAUAUAUGUGUGCAUGUGUGUACAGUAUUAUAAAAAUAGACUUAUAAUAAUGACUGUCAACAUUUACAUAGAAAAAUAAAGAAUGUGUUUUUUGUUCCCUACCCCUUACUCUUUUAUAUCAUUACCUUUUUCUUUAGCAUGGUCUGAAAGAAGAUUGUCUAGAGGAAGAAAGGAAAAGAUAAUGAGAUUUUUUGCCACUGCCUUGAGGAUCCCUGAUUCCUAUUGAUUUUACCUGCCCUUGGACCUGUCCACCUCUAUCUUCACCUCCACCUCCCUGAUCCGGUCUCUAAUCAACUCUCACCUGGACAACAGAAAUGGCAGCCCAAAUUGUCUCCCACAUCCUGUCUUAAUCCCUCUGGUCUCUACUAAACUCUGCAGCCUGAGAGAAUUGUUUAGUUUUUUUUUUUUUUUUAAAUCUGCCACCCUGGCUGGAUUGCAGUGGCAUGAUCUUGACUCACUGCAGAUUUUUUUUAAAAAUCUGCCACCCUGGCUGGAUUGCAGUGGCACGAUCUUGACUCACUGCAACCUCUGUCUCCGGGGUUCAAGCAAUUCUCCUGUCUGUCUCCUGAGUAGCUGGGAUUACAGGCACGCACCACCAUGCUCCACUAAUUUUUGUAUUUUUAGUAGAGACAGGGUUUCGCCAUGUUAAUCAGGCUGGGCUUGAACUCCCGACCUCAGGUGAUCCACCCUCUUCAGCCUCCCAAAGUGCUAGGAUUACAGGCGUGAGCCACCAUGCCCGGCCAAGUUUUUCAAAGCACAAUUACAUCUGAUAUCCCCAUUCCUUGCUUUACCACUGCUCUUACGAGAAUGACUAAAAUCCUGAAUGUGACCCACCAGGCCUCAGGAGGCUCAGCUCCGCCUCACUCCCCAGCCUCACCCCUGCCACUUUUCCCCUCACUCCUGCACCUCCUCAACUCCCCAGUGAGUGCUGCUUUCCCCGACCAUGCUUCUCUCUGAAGCUGUUCUUUCUGCGGUGGCUGGUUUUCCAUUCCCUCUUCACUCAUGACUUCUAGUCCUUCAGGACAAACUUCAUACCCUCAACCCUCAAGCUUGGUUGGUUCAUUCUGGUCAUAGCCUUCACAGAACCAGGAGCUUUCUUGUGUAGCUUUUGUACACAUUUAUUUGUGUUAACUAUUUAAUUCAUCUCAUUUCCCUGACUACACUGAAAGUUCCAGGAGGGCAAAAACUGUGUCUGCUUUUACUCACUAUUGCAUCCCCAGAAUCUAGUAUUGUCCAGGGCAUUUUGUAGAUAAUUAUCAAGUAUUUGUUGAACAAAUAAAAGCUUCCCCCAUGUUCAAGCUACUCGACUCCCAUAGAAUAAGAUCAAGCAAUGAGCUCACAGGCAAAAAUCAUUAAACAUACAGGAAGGCAAAGCUAUUACAAGUAAGAGGCAGUAAAAACUGGAAGCAACGGAUUUAGACAUUGCCACCAUCACCAAGGAUAGCAGAUAAUGGAAUUUUCAGGAACAGAAUCCAGGUUAGUGGGUAUGGGGGGCACAGAAAUUAACAACAAAAGAAACAUCUCCCCUGCCCCCCAGCCAAGAACACUUACCCACCUCCGUCACAUGUUCAUAGAGAAGCUUUUCUAAAAGGGAGAGAGAAAUGCCAGCUCAGCUUAGGAAGGGCUUUUUCUAACAGGCACAAGUGUCCCAAGAUGCCCCCAGCUGCCUGAGUAGGACUGACUCCUUGUCACUACAGAUAAGGCAAAGGCACACCAUGAUGAGAAGUACCAGGACAGGCAGGAUCACAGCCAGAGCCACUGCUGAGGGGGAGAGACUCCCCACAGAUGGGGCUGAAACAGAAACCACCAACGACUGACCUCAGGGAGAUGUCUAAGAGCUUCUGGCAUGCCUCAGAUGGCAGGCGGCUCCAGCACAUCCCAACACUCUCCAUCACCUCUAGGGAGAGAGCUCCGGCCAAGAGGCUCUUUGCUUCUCUGAUAACUCAAGCCCUGGAUAGCAUUAAAGAUAACUGAGGCUGGGAACGGUGGCUCACGCCUGUAAUACCAGCACUUUGGGAGGCAGAGGCAGGAGGAUCAUCUGAGAUCAGGAGUUCAAGACCAGCUGGCCAAUGUGGGGAAACUCCGUGUCUACUAAAAAUACAAAAAUUAGCCAGGUGUGGUGGCGGGCACCUGUAAUCCCAGCUCUUCAGGAGGCUGAGGCAGGAGAAUCCCUUGAACCCGGGAGGCAGAGGUUGCAGUGAGCCAAGGUCACACCAUUGUACUCCAGCCUGGGUGACAAGAGUGAAACUCCAUCUCAAAAACAAACAAACAAACAAACAAACAAAAACUGAGAUGUUCCUCUCUCGGGAAUGGUUUGGAUGGUCCUGCCUCAAGAUGAUGACUUAAACAAACUUCUUGACCACAAUCUCAUCCUGCCCUAUAAUUCAAUGGAAAAAUAAGCCCGGGACUUCAGAGGACUGAAGGCACUCUCCUCACUACACACCUCCAGUCUUCCCAGGAGCACCUGCCUGUUUACCCCUGUCAAUCCUCACUCUGCUCUAGAAGAGCAGGCAGCAACCUCUUUGCCCUGAGCACUGUCCACGGGGGCAAAGCAAUUUCUAUGAUGCCGCAGCAGUAGGCCUGAAGCCUAGGCAGGAGAGAAAGGGGAAAAGAAAGAGGAAAUAGAGGAGAGGAAACGAGCAGAAGCGGGCUAUGGGUAGAAGUAGUUAAGAGCCUAAGCUGGGAGUAUGUCCUUGCUCAAUGCUGUGUGACCCAAAGCAGGAGACUGAGCACCUCCCAGCCCAUUGUCCCUCAUCUGUAAAAUGUGUGCAUGACAGGACUCCUUAUCUCUUUGAGGUUUGGAGAGAUUUAAAGAGGUCAGUCAUAUAAAGCAUUCAGUCUCCUAAGUAGCCGGGAUUACAGGCACAUGCCACCAUGCCUGGCUAGUUUUUGUAUUUUUUUGGUAGAGACAAGGUUUUGCCAUGUUGGCCAGGCUGGUCUCCAGUUCGUUUCAAGGAUCAUUAAAAGGUUCAGGCCAGGUGUGGUGACUCACACCUGUAAUCCUAGCACUUUGGGAGGCUGAAGCAGGAGUAUCACUACAGCUCAGGAGUUUCAGACCAGCCUGGGCAGCAUGGUGAGAGCUCAUCUUUAUUAUAAAUAAAAAAGAAAAAAUAAGUAAAAGGUUUGAACCCUUGGACCCAUUAAUUCUACUGCCAGAAGUACAUUAUUAAAAAAAAAAUCAAAAUCACUUUCCAAAAUACGUUCAAAGAUGUUCAUUGCACCCUUCAUUAUAAUAUGAGGAAAAUUUGGAAAGCAUCCAGAUGCCCAGAAACAGGGCUUUGAUUAAUUUUAUUAUUCUAUAGCCACAUGGCAAAAUACUAUGCAGCCCUUAAAAUCAUAUUACUUAGGGACAUGGGCAAAGAAAACAAAUGCUCAUGAUAUCAUAAGUGGAAAAAUAUCCUGGGCACAAGAAUACACAUGUGUAAACAUACAUGCUCAGAGAUACAUAUAUACAAAAAAGUCUUGCAAGAAAGAUACAAAAAUGUUAGCAGCAGUUCUCUCUAAUUUAAGCUAUUAUAGGCCAUUUUUCAGUUUCCUUUAAAUAUUUUGGAUUUUUUUCAAAUUUUCUACAAUAUAUAUGCUUUAUUCUUAGAAUUUAAAAAAAUUGAAAAUUCCUCAAAAAGUUCCUGCUAGGGUAGGAAUUUCCUCAGGAACCACCAGCGCCUUCAAACCUGUUUCCACCCCAGCUUUUACUUGUUAUGACCACAGCUGUGGUCUUCUCUUGGCCAAGGGCCAUGUUGUGGAUGGUUCAGGACACAUUCCCCAGUGUGCUGUCCCUGACUCUGCUAGACACUGCUAUUUGGAAGAGCCCAGCUUUUUCCAGAGAGUGGGCCUCUGACAGGGAUGGAAGUACCCUGCCUUGAGGUUCUCUCCACUUGGCCCAGGGCUCUGGGAACCAUCCCACCUAUCUGCACACCAGCAGGGCCUCUGCCAGGGUAUGGUCCUGGCCAUGGCCCUCUUCCCCCAUAGCCUCCUGUGAUGAACAGGGGCAGCUGUUAAUGGAACUUGUCCUCUCUCCACUCUCUCCCCACGCUCCUCCUAAUGGGAUAAGCCAGUCUCUAGCUUUAUUCUCAGACAUUUAAAAAUUCACCCAUAGCAAUAACUGUAUCACAUGAUUCAGAUUCCUGUGGGCACCUCGGUCCCCUUUUAAAAAUUACUUUUCAGCUGGGCAUGGUGGCUCAUGCCUGUAAUUCCAGCACUUUGGGAGGCUGAGGUGGGAGGAUCACCUGAGGUCGGGAGAUUGAGAUCAGCCUGACCAACAUGAAGAAACCCCGUCUCUACUAAAAAUACAAAAAUUAGCCGGGCGUGGUGGCACAUGCCUGUAAUCCAGCUACUCGGGAGGCUGAGGCAGGAGAAUCACUUGAACCUGGGAGGCGGAGGUUGUGGUGAGCCCAGAUAGCAUCAUUGCACUCCAGCCUGGGCAACAAGAGUGAAACUCCAUCUCCAAAAAAAAGAAAAAAGAAAAAAAAAUUAGUUGGCCAUGGUGGCGGGCACCAGUAAUCCCAGCUAACUCAGGAGGCUGAGGCAGGAGAAUCACCUGAACCCAGGAGGCGAAGUUGCAGUGAGCCAAGAUUGCACCAAUGCACUCCAGCCUGGGCAACAAGAGCAACACUCCAUCUCAAAAAAAAAAAAAAAAAAAAAAAAAAAAAUUAAUUUUCACCCCAAAGGACUCCAAUUUGGAAAGUCUGUCUACCAACUACUGAGUGUUUUAAAGUAAUUGAUUCAUCCCCACUUCAUGGUGUGUGACUUCAAAUUAUGACCAAAAGAUAAUCAGCAUGUGACCAUGUGAAGCCAGUGUCAUUCAAGCAAAUGCAAAGACAUGGUUUGGGUUGGGUUGAGUUGGGUUUGGUUUGGUAGACUGAUUUUUUAAAAUAUUAGUAGACUGAUUUUUGUGGACUGAUUUUCAGUAAACUGUUUUUUUUAAAUAUUGAAGCUAGUUUGAGAACACUCUCAACUGGGUGCAGUGGCUCACACCUGUAAUGCCAAUACUUUGGGAGGCCAAGCGGGGAGGAUUGCUGGAUUGGAAACCAGUCUAGGAAACAUAGGGAGACCCUGUCUCUACUAAAAGUAAAAAAAAAAAUUAACCAGACAUGGUAGUGUAUGUGUAGUCCCAGCUACUUGGGAGGCUGAGGUGGCAGGAUUACUUGAGCCCAGGUGGUCAAGGCUACAGUGAGCUAUGAUUGCACUACUGCACUCCAGCCUGGGCAACAGAGCAAGGCCCUAUCUCAAAACAAAAAAAAAAAAAAAAAAAAAGAGAAAAAAAAAAAAAAAAACACUAUCUCUCCCUUCCUAACCCUUUACUUUCUCAGGAACCCCAGGAGAGGACCCAUUAAGUAAAUCCUGUCACAGCAGGGGAUCUGUCCCUUGAAGACAUUUCUUUACAGCCAUGUAAUGAGUUCCUUGAUAAUGGAGCAUAGAAAGAUGACCCAGGGAGGAAAAGCUAUUAUCUGAGCCUCCAAGCCCUAUUUAACCAGGACCUGCAUUGUACAGUGUUUUCCAAAGUCUGAGUUCCUUCCUUAUCAGAAAUGCCUAGGCCAGCUUCACAGCCUCAGCUGAGAUCAAUGGACAUGGCUGGGUAAGGCUGAGCCAUCCUGGCAAGUAAAAACUACACUGCAGAUGAAAGAAAAGUCUAGACAUGGAGAGACAAAGUAGGUCCUGAUUAAGCUUGUCCAAUUGCCACAAAUGACCCUGGGCACCUCAAACCCAUUCUAACCUGCAACCUGCAGGAUCACGGUGUCCUCUUUACUCAGAUUUCCAACUUGGAUCAGACAUCGGUAAGACCCUUGGUCCUCAAGGCGCACGUCA